rnacentral:rRNA from 1 species
UACGAAGGGGGCUAGCGUUGCUCGGAAUCACUGGGCGUAAAGGGUGCGUAGGCGGGUCUUUAAGUCAGGGGUGAAAUCCUGGAGCUCAACUCCAGAACUGCCUUUGAUACUGAAGAUCUUGAGUUCGGGAGAGGUGAGUGGAACUGCGAGUGUAGAGGUGAAAUUCGUAGAUAUUCGCAAGAACACCAGUGGCGAAGGCGGCUACCUGGACCAGCACUGACACUGAGGCACGAAAGCGUGGGGAGCAAACAGG